rnacentral:rRNA from 1 species
CCGCGGACGCGGUGAUCCGGUGGCGACCUCCUACAAGUACACCCGCUCCGUGGCCUGGUUGAAAGCCACGUCACCUCCCUCCGCCCCCAAAUUCCACGGGCUCGCGCUCCAAUCAUUGCGACGCGCGCCGCUCCCCUCCCCUCCCCUCCCCGCGAGCCCGACCCAGAUUGGUCGCUCCUCCCCCUCCUCCUCCGGCUGCAUCUGUUAUCAGAAAUUUAUCACUAUUGUGGAAGAACAUCUGCUCACUAAAGUUGCUUGCGAAGCCAGAACAAAGCUAUUUGCCAUCUUGCUUCCAUGGCAACCAACGAAAACCUCCCACCAAAUGUCAUCAGGCAAUUGGCUAAAGAAUUGAAGAAUCUUGACCAGUCACCUCCAGAAGGGAUUAGAGUGAUUGUGAAUGACGAUGACUUCACAAGUAUUUGUGCAGAUAUAGAUGGCCCUGGCGGGACUCCGUAUGAGAAUGGGGUUUUCCGGAUGAAGCUAGUCUUGUCCCGUGACUUCCCUCAAUCCCCACCAAAAGGAUUUUUUGUGACCAAAAUAUUCCAUCCAAACAUAUCGAGCAGUGGUGAGAUCUGCGUUAACACGUUGAAAAAGGAUUGGAAUCCUACUCAUGGAUUAAGGCAUGUUCUACUGGUGGUGAGAUGCCUACUGAUUGAACCAUUCCCAGAAUCUGCGCUCAAUGAGCAGGCUGGAAAGAUGUUACUUGAGAACUAUGCGGACUAUGCACGGCAUGCAAGGUUAUACACCAGCAUUCAUGCCCUCAAACCUAAGGCUAAGCCCAAGAGUGGCACUAUCUCCGAGUCGACUUCUGUAAACGUGGAUCAGUCAAGCACAACAAAUCUAUGCGAAACUGCACCAUCGGCGCCCAUGGCUUUAUGUGCUACUGCUGCUACCAAAGUGCCAGGCUCAAACUCGCUGGAUCAGAAUGCUCCCGCUGAGCCCACUGUUGGACCAUCUACGACAUUGCCCAAGAAGGAAGGACCUGUUGCUACAAAAGCCCCAGCCGAUAAGAAGAAGAUUGACGCGAGGAAGAAGAGCUUGAAGAGAUUGUAAGCAAAAUGUUGGGGCAUCAGAGUGCCAGAUGUAGCACAGACGAAUGAAUAUUGGGCUCCAGGUGGCAUGAGAGGGCAGGUGCCAGAUGUAGCAGACGAGUGAAUAUUGGGCUCCAGGUGACAUGAGAGGCAUCUGGUAAACUGUUUUGUCACCUGCGGAAAUUCUAUCUUGCAUCAACACUUGUGUAAUGACAAUUCUCCCAAAGAAGGCUUGCCUUCUCUAUUCAAUUAAUUCAUUCUCUUGAGAAAACUUAUACUGGUUUUUCCUGUAUUUGAGCUCAUUUGCAACUAUUUUUUUG